rnacentral:rRNA from 1 species
AUUGAACGCUGGCGGCAGGCUUAACACAUGCAAGUCGAGCGGAGAUGAGGUGCUUGCACCUUAUCUUAGCGGCGGACGGGUGAGUAAUGCUUAGGAAUCUGCCUAUUAGUGGGAGACAACAUUCCGAAAGGAAUGCUAAUACCGCAUACGCCCUACGGGGGAAAGCAGGGGAUCUUCGGACCUUGCGCUAAUAGAUGAGCCUAAGUCGGAUUAGCUAGUCGGUGGGGUAAAGGCCUACCAAGGCGACGAUCUGUAGCGGGUCUGAGAGGAUGGUCCGCCACACUGGGACUGAGACACGGCCCAGACUCCUACGGGAGGCAGCAGUGGGGAAUAUUGGACAAUGGGCGGAAGCCUGAUCCAGCCAUACCGCGUGUGUGAAGAAGGCCUUUUGGUUGUAAAGCACUUUAAGCGAGGAGGAGGCUACCUGGAUUAAUACUCUAGGAUAGUGGACGUUACUCGCAGAAUAAGCACCGGCUAACUCUGUGCCAGCCGCCGCCGUAAUAC